UCUAAAAUUACAUUUGCUGCUACUGCGACUGCUGCUGCAACUGCUGCCAUGCCCAGCAAAGCCAUACUGUAGUUUGUUUAUUCUGUUUUUAUUUAUUUAUUUUUUUAAAUUAGUGACCAAUGUUUUUUUAAAUGUAUUUUCCCCCAAUUUGGAAUGUCCAAUUAUGUUUUUUCUCCUCGCCGCAGCGAGUCUCCACACGGCACAGACGUUCUAAGGGUGUGUGAGCAUCCAAGGAUCUCGUCUUCUGGACUGAUAGGAGCUGCCCUCGUUCUCUGACGUUGGUCAGAGGUCACCAAGGCUGGGUGAUGGAGGACCACCGACCCCCAGAAGGGAAAUACAGUUGCAAAGGAGGCGGUGGGGAGGUGGAGGAGGAAGACCUUCAGAACAAGUAUUGGAAGGGGAUUGCAACAAUGGUUCUUACACUGCAUGGAAUUUGGAAAUUAAUUGAAGGCCAUCGUCAGCACCCAUACAGCAGUACAUCUCUCGUUGUAAAUGGGUGAAAUAAUGUAAUGACAACUCCAUGAAAAAGAAAAAUGUGCAACUGCAUGCAUGUGUCCUACAAGUGAUAAAAGGAGUAUCGAUUCAUUCUAUUCAUUCCUUCAUUUUUAGAGUGACUAUAGAUAAUCACAAGAACUAUCAUUUGAUUGU